rnacentral:lncRNA from 1 species
AGUCGCACUGAUGCCUGUGGUUGCUGCUGCUAUUGUAUGGCCUGCACAGCUUCAAUGAGGCCUCUGACCUACUGCACCAGUAGGUCGAAUUGCUCCGUGCCAACCGCCGUUACCAGAGGAGGGGGAGGAGGCUGGGAAACUGGAGGUGAGGCCGGAGCUUGAGAUUUGGCUGUGGAGGCCAUGGAUCGUCGCGUGGAUGCUUUACGGGGAGGCAUCAGGUGAAGACCUAGUGGGGGAA